rnacentral:rRNA from 1 species
AUUGAACGCUGGCGGCAGGCCUAACACAUGCAAGUCGAGCGGAUGAAGGGAGCUUGCUCCUGGAUUCAGCGGCGGACGGGUGAGUAAUGCCUAGGAAUCUGCCUGGUAGUGGGGGCUAACGUCCGGACACGGGCGCUAAUACCGCAUACGUCCUGAGGGAGAAAGUGGGGGAUCUUCGGACCUCACGCUAUCAGAUGAGCCUAGGUCGGAUUAGCUAGUUGGUGGGGUAAAGGCCUACCAAGGCGACGAUCCGUAGCUGGUCUGAGAGGAUGAUCAGUCACACUGGAACUGAGACACGGUCCAGACUCCUACGGGAGGCAGCAGUGGGGAAUAUUGGACAAUGGGCGCAAGCCUGAUCCAGCCAUGCCGCGUGUGUGAAGAAGGUCUUCGGAUUGUAAAGCACUUUUAGUUGGGAAGAAGAGCAGUAAGUUAAUACCUUGCUGUUUUGACGUUACCAAAAGAAUAAGCACCGGCUAACUUCGUG